rnacentral:rRNA from 1 species
GACGAACGCUGGCGGCGUGCCUAAUACAUGCAAGUCGAGCGGAGUUAUUCCUUCGGGGAUAACUUAGCGGCGGACGGGUGAGUAACACGUAGGUAACCUGCCUGUAAGACUGGGAUAACAUUCGGAAACGAAUGCUAAUACCGGAUACGCGAGUUGGUCGCAUGGCCGACUCGGGAAAGACGGAGCAAUCUGUCGCUUACGGAUGGACCUGCGGCGCAUUAGCUAGUUGGUGAGGUAACGGCUCACCAAGGCGACGAUGCGUAGCCGACCUGAGAGGGUGAUCGGCCACACUGGGACUGAGACACGGCCCAGACUCCUACGGGAGGCAGCAGUAGGGAAUCUUCCGCAAUGGGCGAAAGCCUGACGGAGCAACGCCGCGUGAGUGAUGAAGGUUUUCGGAUCGUAAAGCUCUGUUGCCAGGGAAGAACGCCUUGGAGAGUAACUGCUCCAAGGGUGACGGUACCUGAGAAGAAAGCCCCGGCUAACUACGUGCCAGCAGCCGCGAGUAAAAC